rnacentral:rRNA from 2 species
GGUUAAGUUAACAAGGGCGCAUGGUGAAUGCCUUGGCACUAGGAGCCGAUGAAGGACGGGACUAACACCGAUAUGCUUCGGGGAGCUGUACGUAAGCUAUGAUCCGGAGAUUUCCGAAUGGGGCAACCCAGCAGUUUUAAUCAACUGUUACCACUAGAUGAAUUCAUAGUCUAGUUGGAGGUAAACGCUGUGAACUGAAACAUCUCAUUAGCAGCAGGAAUAUAAAGAAAUUUCGAUUCCCUAAGUAGCGGCGAGCGAACGGGGAACAGCCCAAACCAAAGUGCUUGCACUUUGGGGUUGUAGGACUGAACAUUUGAGUUACCAAAGAACUUGAUAGUCGAAGGAUUUGGGAAAAUCCGCCAUAGAUGGUGAUAGCCCAGUAGAUUAAAUCAAAUUCUCUCAGUUCAGGAUCCUGAGUACGGCGGAACACGUGAAAUUCCGUCGGAAUCCGGGAGGACCAUCUCCCAAGGCUAAAUACUACCUAGUGACCGAUAGUGAACCAGUACCGUGAGGGAAAGGUGAAAAGCACCCCGGGAGGGGAGUGAAAUAGUUCCUGAAACCAUGUGCCUACAAUAAGUCAGAGCGCGUUAAUGCGUGAUGGCGUGCCUUUUGUAGAAUGAACCGGCGAGUUAUGAUCCCGUGCAAGGUUAAGACUAAAAAGUCGGAGCCGUAGCGAAAGCGAGUCUGAAAUGGGCGUUUUGAGUACGAGGUUAUAGACCCGAAACCAGGUGACCUAUCCAUGUCCAGGUUGAAGGUGCGGUAAAACGCACUGGAGGACCGAACCCGUGUAAGUUGAAAAUUGCUGGGAUGAGGUGUGGAUAGCGGUGAAAUUCCAAACGAACUUGGAGAUAGCUGGUUCUCUCCGAAAUAGCUUUAGGGCUAGCCUCGGAAUUAGGAUCAUGGAGGUAGAGCACUAUUUGGACUAGGGGCCCGUCUUGGGUUACUGAAUUCAGAUAAACUCCGAAUGCCAUUGAUUCAUAUCCGGGAGUCAGACGAUGAGUGAUAAGAUCCACCGUCGAAAGGGGAACAGCCCAGACCAUCAGUUAAGGUCCCUAAAUGUAUGCUAAGUGGAAAAGGAUGUGGAGUUGCAUAGACAACUAGGAUGUUGGCUCAGAAGCAGCCACCAUUUAAAGAGUGCGUAAUAGCUCACUAGUCGAGUGAUCCUGCGCCGAAAAUGUACCGGGGCUAAGCAUAUUACCGAAACCAUGGAUGCGACCAUUAGGUCGCGUGAUAGGAGAGCGUUCUAAGGGCGGUGAAGCAAGAUCGUGAGGACUUGUGGAGCGCUUAGAAGUGAGAAUGCCGGUAUGAGUAGCGAAAGAUAGGUGAGAAUCCUAUCCACCGAAUGACUAAGGUUUCCUGGGGAAGGCUCGUCCUCCCAGGGUUAGUCGGGACCUAAGUCGAGGCCGAGAGGCGUAGACGAUGGAUAACAGGUUGAGAUUCCUGUACUAGUUAAGUGCGUUUGAGCAAUGGAGGGACGCAGGAGGCUAAGAUGUGCAUUCUGUUGGAUUAGAAUGUCCAAGCAGUAAGUCUUGUGAAGAGUCAAAUGCUUUUCACUUUAAGGACAAGCUGUGAUGGGGAGCGAAAUUUAGUAGCGAAGCGUCUGAUGUCACACUGCCGAGAAAAGCUUCUAGUGAGUACUUAACUACCCGUACCGCAAACCGACACAGGUAGUCGAGGAGAGAAUCCUAAGGUGAGCGAGUGAACUCUCGUUAAGGAACUCGGCAAAAUGACCCCGUAACUUCGGGAGAAGGGGUGCUGAUCGCAAGAUCAGCCGCAGUGAAUAGGCCCAGGCGACUGUUUAUCAAAAACACAGGUCUCUGCAAAAUCGUAAGAUGACGUAUAGGGGCUGACGCCUGCCCGGUGCUGGAAGGUUAAAAGGAUGGGUUAGCUUCGGCGAAGCUCAGAAUUGAAGCCCCAGUAAACGGCGGCCGUAACUAUAACGGUCCUAAGGUAGCGAAAUUCCUUGUCGGGUAAGUUCCGACCCGCACGAAAGGCGUAACGAUCUGGGCACUGUCUCAACGAGAGACUCGGUGAAAUUAUAUUGUCCGUGAAGAUGCGGACUACCCGCGACAGGACGGAAAGACCCCAUGGAGCUUUACUGUAGCUUGAUAUUGAGUGUUUGUACAGCUUGUACAGGAUAGGUAGGAGCCAUAGAAACCGGAACGCUAGUUUCGGUGGAGGCGUUGGUGGGAUACUACCCUCGCUGUAUGACCACUCUAACCCGCACCACUAAUCGUGGUGGGAGACAGUGUCAGGUGGGCAGUUUGACUGGGGCGGUCGCCUCCUAAAAAGUAACGGAGGCGCCCAAAGGUUCCCUCAGAAUGGUUGGAAAUCAUUCGCAGAGUGUAAAGGCACAAGGGAGCUUGACUGCGAGACAGACAGGUCGAGCAGGGACGAAAGUCGGGCUUAGUGAUCCGGUGGUACCGUAUGGAAGGGCCAUCGCUCAACGGAUAAAAGCUACCCUGGGGAUAACAGGCUUAUCUCCCCCAAGAGUCCACAUCGACGGGGAGGUUUGGCACCUCGAUGUCGGCUCAUCGCAUCCUGGGGCUGUAGUCGGUCCCAAGGGUUGGGCUGUUCGCCCAUUAAAGCGGUACGCGAGCUGGGUUCAGAACGUCGUGAGACAGUUCGGUCCCUAUCCGUCGCGGGCGUAGGAAAUUUGAGAGGACCUGUCCUUAGUACGAGAGGACCGGGAUGGACAUACCUCUGGUGUACCAGUUGUGCCGCCAGGCGCAUCGCUGGGUAGCUACGUAUGGAUGUGAUAAACGCUGAAAGCAUCUAAGUGUGAAACACACCUCGAGAUGAGAUUUCCCAUUCCUUUAUGGAAGUAAGACCCCUGAAAGAUGAUCAGGUAGAUAGGUUAGAAGUGGCAGUGCGGUGACGCAUGAAGCGGACUAAUACUAAUCGGUCGAGGACUUAACCAA